UGGGGAAUUGUUCACAAUGGGCGCAAGCCUGAUGACGCAACGCCGCGUGGGGGAUGAAGGUCUUCGGAUUGUAAACCCCUGUCGAACGGGACGAACGGCCUCUGGGCUAAUCACCAGAGGAGUGACGGUACCGUUAAAGGAAGCCACGGCUAACUCUGUGCCAGCAGCCGCGGUAAUACAGAGGUGGCAAGCGUUGUUCGGAAUUACUGGGCGUAAAGGGCGCGUAGGCGGCCAUCUAAGUCAGACGUGAAAUCCCCCGGCUUAACCUGGGAACUGCGUCCGAUACUGGAGGGCUCGAGUUUGGGAGAGGGAUGUGGAAUUCCAGGUGUAGCGGUGAAAUGCGUAGAUAUCUGGAGGAACACCGGUGGCGAAGGCGGCAUCCUGGACCAACACUGACGCUGAGGCGCGAAAGCUAGGGGAGCAAACGGGAUUAGAUACCCCGGUAGUCCUAGCCCUAAACGAUGAAUGCUUGGUGUGGCGGGUAUCGAUCCCUGCCGUGCCGAAGCUAACG
rnacentral:rRNA from 1 species